rnacentral:rRNA from 1 species
CACGGGGGGAGCAAGCGUUGUUCGGAAUCACUGGGCGUAAAGGGCGUGUAGGCGGUCAAGUAAGUGGAAUGUGAAACGCCCCCGGCUUACCCGGGGAUCUGCAUCCCAAACUGCUUGGCUUGAGUACGGGAGAGGAUAGGGGAAUUCAUGGUGUAGCAGUGAAAUGCGUAGAGAUCAUGAGGAAGACCAGUGGCGAAGGCGGGUCUCUGGACAGUUCCUGACACUGAGGCACGAAGGCCAGGGGAGCAAACGGG